CCCUCAUACUAACUGGAUUAAUUUAACACAAGCAAAAUGCUAGCAGUAUUUGCUUAAUGCUGCCAGGAAGCCUCUGCUGACGCACGGCAAGGACCUGGAGAGUGGCCUCUGAGACAGUUGGUGAAAGAGAGCCCUGUAUGGUGGGGGAGAGGAUUUCAGGAGGGGCAAAGAUUCUGAAAAGCUUUGGAGAAGAGGAUGUGGCUUAGGAAGAGAUCACUUAGAUCUGCCUGGUGGCUUCAGCAGUUACAAAACCUUUCCAAAAGUGAAAUAACAUACUCUUCAACAAGCCCCUCCCUCGCUAUGACGUCAAGAAACACACCCUAUCAUGUCAUUGUCUGGUUACUUCUUUGGAAAGAGCUACUUUUAGUGAGAGUAAACACGUACUGCUUUAGAGCAUGAAUUAACAUGUACUAAUUAAAAGGCAGAUUUGAAAAUGC